AAAACUUUCAGCAAUGGAUGUCUU
rnacentral:rRNA from 3 species